rnacentral:rRNA from 1 species
AUUGAACGCUGGCGGCAGGCCUAACACAUGCAAGUCGAGCGAGCGGCGGACGGGUGAGUAAUGUCUGGGAAACUUCCUGCUGGAGGGGGAUAACUACUGGAAACGGUAGCUAAUACCGCCUUCCAUCAGAUUUUCCCAGAUGGGAUUAGCUAGUAGGUUGGGUAACGGCUCACCUAGUCAACAAUCCCUAGCUGGUCUGAGAGGCUGACCAGCAACACUGGAACUGGGACAGGGUCCAGACUCCUACGGGAGGAAGCAGUGGGGAAUAUUGAACAAUGGGAGCAAGCCUGAUGCAGCCAUGCCGCGUGGGUGAAGAAGGCCUUCGGGUUGUAAAGCACUUUCAGCGGGGAGGCGUUACCCGCAGAAGAAGCACCGGCUAACUCCGUGCCAGCAGCCGCGGUAAUAC